AUUGAACGCUGGCGGCAGGCCUAACACAUGCAAGUCGAACGAGUGGCGGACGGGUGAGAAACGUCUGGGAACCUGCCUGAUGGAGGGGGAUAACUACUGGAAACGGUCGCUAAUACCGCAUACCAUCAGAUGUGCCCAGAUGGGCUUAGCUAGUUGGGGGGGUAACGGCUCACCAAGGCGACGAUCCCUAGCUGGUCUGAGAGGAUGACCAGCCACACUGGAACUGGGACACGGUCCAGACUCCGACGGGAGGCAGCAGUGGGGAAUAUUGGACAAUGGGCGCAAGCCUGAUGCAGCCAUGCCGCGUGUAUGAAGAAGGCCUUCGGGUUGUAAAGUACUUUCAGCGGGGAGGCGUUACCCGCAGAAGAAGCACCGGCUAACUCCGUGCCAGCAGCCGCGGUAAUUC
rnacentral:rRNA from 1 species